rnacentral:rRNA from 1 species
AUUGAACGCUGGCGGCAUGCCUUACACAUGCAAGUCGAACGGUAACAGGUCUUCGGAUGCUGACGAGUGGCGAACGGGUGAGUAAUACAUCGGAACGUGCCCGAUCGUGGGGGGUAACGGAGCGAAAGCUUUGCUAAUACCGCAUACGAUCUACGGAUGAAAGCAGGGGACCGCAAGGCCUUGCGCGGACGGAGCGGCCGAUGGCAGAUUAGGUAGUUGGUGGGAUAAAAGCUUACCAAGCCGACGAUCUGUAGCUGGUCUGAGAGGACGACCAGCCACACUGGGACUGAGACACGGCCCAGACUCCUACGGGAGGCAGCAGUGGGGAAUUUUGGACAAUGGGCGAAAGCCUGAUCCAGCCAUGCCGCGUGCAGGAUGAAGGCCUUCGGGUUGUAAACUGCUUUUGUACGGAACGAAAAGACUCUUUCUAAUAAAGAGGGUCCAUGACGGUACCGUAAGAAUAAGCACCGGCUAACUACGUG